GGGUGGGCAAGUUCUGGUGUCAGCCGCCGCGGUAAAACCAGCACCUCAAGUGGUCAGGAUGAUUAUUGGGCCUAAAGCAUCCGUAGCCGGCUCUGUAAGUUUUCGGUUAAAUCUGUACGCUUAACGUACAGGCUGCCGGGAAUACUGCAAAACUAGGGAGUGGGAGAGGUAGACGGUACUCGGUAGGAAGGGGUAAAAUGCUUUGAUCUAUCGAUGACCACCUGUGGCGAAGGCGGUCUACCAGAACACGUCCGACGGUGAGGGAUGAAAGCUGGGGGAGCAAACCGGAUUAGAUACCCGGGUAGUCCCAGCUGUAAACUAUGCAAACUCAGUGAUGCAUUGGCUUGUGGCCAAUGCAGUGCUGCAGGGAAGCCGUUAAGUUUGCCGCCUGGGAAGUACGUACGCAAGUAUGAAACUUAAAGGAAUUGGCGGGGG
rnacentral:rRNA from 1 species